rnacentral:lncRNA from 1 species
GAAACACUUUAGCCAUUUUAAAAUAAUACACUUUAGAAUUCUUGAUUUGAGAUAACGUAGACUUUUAUUAACAAAGGGGGGGGGACAAUCUCAUUUUCUCAAUGUUUCCCUCCUGGGAAGUCAAAACCAAGACUUGGGGGCCAUGUUUGGGCCACCGCAAACCAAGGUGGCACUGCCAUAGAGCCCCAGGUGACACUAAAAUAGAGCCCCAGGUGGCACUGACAUAGAGCCCCAGGUGGCACUAACAUACAGCCCCAGGUGGCACUGACAUAGAGCUCCAGGUGGCACUGACAUAGAGCCCCAGGUGGCAUUGACAUAGAGGUCACCAUCCUGCUCAUGAAACCCAGAAGGUGUGUCUGUCCUCUGCCCCCCACAAAAAACGGGGGAGAGCUAGGGAAGGGUUCUGUGUGAAUAAUAUCCCUCUCUAGUAUGGCUGUUGAGUGAGUCUUGGGUCAAUGAGCAGAUGCACAAAAGCUGUUUCUCCGUAAUGUUAACUGACAUGCUUUGAAUGUGGGGACAGCAUGAAGGCCUUGCAAGUGACAUCAGCACCAACAGCUCUAAGGUGCCAGGUGUAACUCUUUGCUUUAUUUGACAGGUGAGCAUAAGGUUGAGUCACUUGCCCCAGGUUAAACAGCUUCAGCCCCUAAAUGACAAUAUCACACAAAUAUACAGACACACACACACACACACAUACUGCACACACACACCACAUACACACUCACACACACCCUACACACACCCUAUAUACACUCUACACACACACACAUACACACACACACACACACACACACCACACCACAUACACACACACACCACACACACACACCCUACACUCACCCCCUACACACCCCAUACACACACCCCACACACACACCUCCAUCUUCAGUGUACAGAUUCCUUGCCAGUGAUGGCCUUACUCUAAACUCUAAGGUGAACUUUCUAAAGAGAAUAUAGGCAGGGCUUAGCGAAUAAGGAAGUAGAGGUUCCUAGCCAGUGACC